UUUCACGAGCAGAGACUACGCAGACCCUGGACAGACAAGGCUGCUAAGAUGUGCUGUGCCAACAGUUUCCAUCUUUGGCGAUGAGCAGACACACGUCGAAAGUCCAGGCUCUCCUUGGCCCGCGAAUACCACUGCAAUGCCCGCUCACAGCGCCGAUGAAGAAGUUCAACAGACUGAGCCCUCAUGUUCUAAUCCAGCGGGUCGACAACACAAGCCUUCUAGGUGCUCGCCCCGGACAGCCAGAAAAAUGAAGAACCUGGAGAAGAUAAAUUCAAGG